rnacentral:lncRNA from 1 species
UUUCAUCAAUAUUUUUUUUAUUUUUAAAUAAUUUUCUUAAAAACUGCUAUUUUUGGAAAAUUUUCAUUUUUAGAGAAAUACUGUAGAUUAGGGUUUGUGAUUUAGAAAUUAGGAUAACAAGAAUAUUUGUGGAUUGAUAAGUAUUAUUUCUGAGUUUUUCAUGAAUAGAUUGUAUUUUUAAAUAAUUUUCUUAAGAACUGCUAUUUUUGAAAAGUUUUCAUUUUUAUAGAAAUACUAUAGAUUAGGGUUUGUGAUUUACAAAUUAGGAUAACAAGAAUAUUUGUGGAUAGAUGAG